GCCGCACCGGGGACCCCAGGACCCCAGGCCGGGGCUGAGGGCGCUUUCGACCCGCACGGAAUGGAAACGCGCGCGUUCGCUGCGAUUUGACACUUGCUUUGAAGGGAAGACCUUGGUUUUCCUUCCUCGUUCCUAAACCGUGGUGCCUGAUGAAGAAUUUAGAGUAAAACUGGUCGCUGCUGUCCAAAGGGGUUGCUUUUAAAUCAGUCCUAAUUGGAACACCAGGUGGUUUCAACAGAGCCUGAGUUGGCCCCGGUGAUUCUGGCAAUGACAAGAGAUGGUGAAAAUCACAACUAUUUAGGAAGAAAAGCUUCAGCACAAGAUCUCAGUUGCCUUGGGGCAGUCCUGUGUGGGCACCAGCAACUGCUGAGUUCUUUGGGCAGCUAUCAGAGGCCUGCCUGCCCUUUAAGCCUCAACAGAACAAGAGGGGUUUCUACAGAGAGCCAGAGCUGGGGCAGUCAGGAAGAAAAUGGCAGUGACGACAACUGUUCUGGAGGGGCACUUGGGACUUCGCAAAACCAUUUGGGAGAAAAUAAGGAAGUUUGGCUUUCCUGCAGAAUGAAUGGAAGCAGAGCCAACCAAUUACUCUUUCGCAACUGUUGUUGCAGUCCCUUAUUUACUGUGAAGGACGCUGUUGCCUGAAAAACAGGUCUACAAACUAAGAGGACUUAUUGCUAAGGUAUCUGUGAAGCUCUUUAAAAUCUGUUAAAUAUAAAAAUUUAUAAAAUAUGCACACACACACACACACACACACACACACACACACACACCCGCACUCCCCAAAUGCAAUGUAACUACCUGAGUCAGAGUGUUGUGUUUUUUUUUAAUAUAAAAGUUAAAACUAAGUACACAGAUGCCAGAAGUCCCUUUCAUUACACCUCAUCUAUUAGAAAUAUAAACCUCAACCAACUUGUUUUUCAACUUGUUUUUGUCGUUAAUGAUGGGACUGGUGAUUUUGAAUGUAUGCCCAAAUUUUUGUUUUUGAAUUUAACUGGACAAAUCUGAUUCUUGCCAGGUUUAUCAACUCUUUGAGUUCUAGUUACGGAGCUACCUCUUUCUGAAUUUCACUCCACCUAACUUCCUUUUUACUGUUCCAUUUCUGAUGCUCAACUGGCUAUUUCAUCUUUACUCAACCUUUCUUACAGUGUGUACUAUGACUGGCUCUUUUAUGUUAAAAGUGAGAUUUGCAUGUUUUAGUAGGAUAACUCUUCCCUUAUCUCUAGAUGCAGAACAAAAUCUAACUGGAUCUGUCAAGAGACACCCUAGCCCCAGAACAAGACUUGUUCAAUGAAGGUUAUGGACAGAAUGACUAAUAGGCUUUUUAUCACCAUGGAGUCUUCAUUCAUUCAACAAGUAUUUAUUGAGCAUUAGUUAGGUGCCAGCCAGUACACUAGGCACUGUAAUAAUAAAUACUAUCUCUUUACUCUUGGUGCUUAAGCUAUUGAGAAAGACAGUAUUAAACAAUGUUUAAGUAUUAUGCAUAUUAAGAUAGGGGAAUAUUCAGCUGUCAUCUGUACAGUUAUGGUUUUUCAUCUUUUAGGUGGGGGAAGGCAUAGACUCCUUGCAUUUGAUCAAUGUCCUAGACCUUUGCCCUAGAAAACAAACAUACCCUCAAAAUCUUGCCAAUAAUUUCAAGUUAUUCAUGUGUCCUUUUGAAGCCUUUCCAUGCACUCUGGGUUUAGGAUUCCUACCAUAAAUGAAAAACACUAAAAUCAGAUGAAACCAGAAGAAGCAGGAAUUCUAAAAUACAUGGAGGGGAAGAGAGACAAAGUGCUGAGGAGUAAGAGCAGCAAGAAUGAAAAAUACGUUUCCACAGAUUUAUUUUAACAUGUGUUAUCCCCAGCCAACAUACGUAAUUAAUGCUUCCUGGAACAAUCCCCUGUGGAGGAAGCAAUGCCCCACCAAGUGAACCUUGCCCUCCCAUACAAGAACACUUUAAGAAGCUACCAGCUCCUUCACCUUUAUAGCAACAUGAUGAGUGCCCUGGAUCAAAGUCUUCUGCCGAUCCAUAGACAGGCGACCACAACAAAUAAUCAGUUUGCAAAGAAAUGUACGUUUGGGAAGGAGCUGCUGCUUCCCUUCUACAUUUGGUUUUAACUGUGCCCGAAGCAAGAUUCAGUCCUGGAGAAUUUAAAUGACCUUACCUUCCAGCUUUUCCACCAGAGGACGCUGUUCCUGGUCUGCACGUGGUCAUCUUCUUGUAGCUUCACAUGGUGAGGAGAGAGAGGAAGCAAGCCCUAUCUUGUCUCUUCUUAUCUCAGAUGCUUAUGACUGGCUGCCACUGACUGGGAAAGAGAAUCUACACUGGGAAUCCUCUAACAUCAGAGAUUCAGGAGACUGAGAAGUCGAAGACCAAGGUGCUGGCUGACUUUGCUCAUAGUGAAGACCCUGUUCCUAGUCUGCACAUGGUCGUCUUCUCCUUGUAGCUUCACAUGGUGAGGAGAGAGAGGAAGCAAGCCCUCUCUUGUCUCUUCUUAUAAAGACGCUCAUCUUAAAGAAGAUGUGGUAUUACUCGGCAAUCAAAAAGAAUGAAAUCUUGCCUUUUGCAACUACAUGGA